UACAGAGGAUGCAAGCGUUAUCCGGAAUGAUUGGGCGUAAAGCGUCCGUAGGUGGUUUUGUAAGUCUGUGGUUAAAGCGUGGAGCUUAACUCCAUAACGGCCAUGGAAACUACAAGACUAGAGUUAAGUAGGGGUAGAGGGAAUUCCCAGUGUAGCGGUGAAAUGCGUAGAGAUUGGGAAGAACACCGGUGGCGAAAGCGCUCUACUGGACUUAUACUGACACUGAGGGACGAAAGCUAGGGGAGCGAAAGGG
rnacentral:rRNA from 1 species